GGUUCAUCCCUCCCCAGGGUGCACGAAGACAGGCACCUCCGGCCAGCUUCCCCCCGCUGCCGGGCCGGUAGAGCCGGUGCUACUACAUCUUGUCAGGACGCAGAUGAAUUUAUUCUCAAGGAAAAUCAUUUCUGGGGAAGGUGGUGCUGGACUACUGAGAAACACCUCAUUGACAUUUCACCUGAAACUUCAGACCACUAUUCUAAAGCAGAUACUCAUCACAGGCAUUUUCAUGCCGAACAGUUUGUGUAUCACACAAAUAAAAAACAACUUUAAAUGAGAAAUAUUCUGAAACUAACUACAGACAUUACAAUCUAUGCUGCAAACUUCACUUUUCACAGAGCAGUAUUUGACAAAUCAGAUCAAGCAUUCACAAAUGCAUGUCUUCCGAUUGUUUUCUUACCCCAUUUCCAUGUUUUUUCUUGAAAAAUAAUCUUCAGCAGUCCAUAUACUGCCUAGAAUAUACCCAAGCACAGCUUUCCCUACAGCAAAAAGUUUUAACUUCACCACUACAAAGCAUCCUAUGCCACAGGUUCUCACCAUAGGAUGGAGGGUACCUUUAGAGAGAAUAAUUUAAACUGGAAGUUCUAAAUAUUUUAUUUCCUACAGGGAUGUGUUUCUUGGAAAACUACAAGUACUUCUGUCAAAAUACUGACUCGGAAGAGCAAAGACAGGAAUAUGGAUAAACAUGUCCAAUCGAUGGUUUUCCUUCCACUAUGGCUUGACAUUAUCUUUGUUUGCAAUGACGUUUAAAAGCAUAACUAAGCUCAUUUUUUCUCUAGAAAGUGUUUGAAAAUACGAAUGAAAUCUAGUGAGACAUGUACGCAUGGGGCAGGAAUGCCGUAACAGUAACCACCUCCCUUUCACAUUUGGAGAGAUGAAGAGCAGAUUCUUCUGUAAACACAUAAUGUAGCAUCAUUACACGACCCAAGCCAGCCAUGUCUCAUGGACAAGCUUGCCACAACUUAGAGCAGACCCAGAAGGUAGCUUUAACUUGGCAGUACUCAAAGGCUUAGGCCUGGUUUAGAGAAGAAAGGUACGGACCGUUUCUUCAGCAGGGUUUUGCCAGAACUUGAGUACAAUUUUGUUUCCACAUCUAGCAAAAAAAAAAAAAAAAAAAAGUGAUUUAUUAUGUUAUUGCAGUGGACAUUUUGGCAGAGAGAGCAGGCACACUGAAGUAUGCAUCUGUCAUUUCCAAAAAAAGCCAAACAAUUUCACUGGUCUGGUUUAGAGAAGUAGCCUGAACUGCACAGAAGGCAGUGUUUGAACUCAGACUGAGGAUGGGGAGAAGGGCAGAAAUAACAUGCCAGGGGACACAAGGGAUUUGCAACAAGCUUUGCUUGUUUGUGUCGAAGACACUGCACCAGGGAAGACAUCUUAGAAAACUAACAGUACAAUCCAUUGCACCACAGAGAUCUUCUCCUGCACAGCUCAGGAGAAGGAUGCACUGCUAAGAUAUUGAAAAUUACAUCCUUGUAAUCCACUGGGUUCACAAGCUGUGAGCAAAGACUCAACAAAUUCAAGGGGAAAAACCAGGACGUUUUUGCUCUAAGCUUCAGCAGGUCACAGUGGAUUAGAGGAAUUCCUUCAGCCAGCAAGAGAGGCGAUCGCAGUGGAAAACCCCAGCUCCCACCAGGCAGCAGCCUCCAUCCAGUGGGUUCCACUCGCGGGCACACGGACACACACCCCGAAAUGAAGACAAGCAUCUCAUUUUCAAGUUGAUUUUUGUAAAUGGAAAAAAAUGUAUAAAAUCUAUCCAUACAUUAACAGAUACAGGAAGUUACACAAUCCAGUUUACACCUAAAGCAAUAGCAAUCAGUCCGUAAUAAGAACAGGGAAAAAUUCCAAUGCUGUAACUUGUCCAAAGUCACUAUAGGGCAGAGGACUGUGGUUGGCUUCUUCUUUUUGGCGUGUGGAUAAACUGGCUACCUUCCCUACUUCCAAAGCAAAGAGACAACUCCAACAGACAUGUAUUAGGAAUACUUUUGAAAUGCAUCUGACUCUAGCAUUAACACUGAAUAUUCAAAGAUUCAUAUUAUUACAGUAUAAUGUUUGCCUACUUCUGCCUCCAGGAAAGGGCAGUGGGCAGUAGGUACUACUCAAGAGAAAUCCUGCACCCAUCUUAGAAUUUACAGCAUUGAUUGAGUAAAAGAUUUUUACUUUAUGAUUUUUAUCCAUCCUGGAACACUUAAAAUUUAUGUAUCCUCAGCUCAGACAUUUACAAAGCAUGCAGAGACUGUUACUACUCAAGGAACAUUUAGGAGGCUAUGGAAAAUGUGCUGGCGGGUACUGGUCUAAUUUUAGUGAACUCAUGUCUACCAUUACAUGCAAGCCAUACCUGGCAGUAGUUCUCCCUCCAUUUAUUGGAGGCCCCAGAAGACAAGGCUUGAAUGAACGGGCAUGGAAGCUCAGGUACCAUUUUAAGGAAUAAAACAAAACAACUGCUAGCAGGGGCCCGCUUGUGGGAAUGCCUGCCCUGCUGCUGGUGUACCUGUGGGUGAACAGUGUCAGUCCAGGGCUCACAAAAGAUGCCUGACUGGAUUUUAAAGGAAAAGGGAGGCACCUUAAACCCUGAAAAGACAGACUUCUGUGUUUGACAGGUGUAUUCAAUAUGCACACACAAAGCAAGACAGUAAGCUGUGCUUAUCCACCCAGAAGACUGCACCAUUUUUCUGAACAUAUAGAAUAUACAACCCUUUCUCAAAAUAACAACAACAAUAAUAAUAAAGCAGAAGUGCAGAAUCCAGAGUGUUGGGUGGUCUGUGUUUAAAAAACAUACGGAAGAAUAAAAGCUAAUGCUGUAAAGACAACUAUUCCCUUUCAAAGCAAAGGCCACAUAAAACUCUGUUGCUCAGUUUGGUUUUUUUACUUCAUGCCACCUGUAAACACAAGACUGGAUAUUCAGUUUCUGGGAAGAAAUGAAAAUACUUUUACAUUCAGAGUAAAAGAAAAGCCCUCCACUGCCUGGAUCACAGAUUACCCAGGAAAAGGUAGCUAGGGGAAGGCUUCCUCUUCUUGUUUGCUCAUUUCAUUAGAAAGGUCAUAUCUGAACAAAAGAGCUUUCAAUAAAAGCACAAAACGUU